GAACAAUGACACUGCCAGAAAGAUAAUCUCCUGCUAAUGGGCUAUUGAAUUACUCACUGUGGCUGGUAAGAUUAGUUACAUCAUCCCAUUGGGAGAUGCUCCACCCAGAGGGAGGAGCCAAGCAUCCCUGCCACCAUAAAACAAGCAUUUCUGAGACCACAGACAGCCUUCUUCGCUGGAUUUCCCAGAGGAAUCAGGAACCAAGGCCCAGCUGCUCCUUCGCCACAUUUUCAGAAAGGAUCUACACCCUUCUGCAGAUCGCCGCUCCAGGAGGAGCAGCCACCAUCUGGCUGGACUACUAUCAACACCCUGACUUCUCAGGGUGUCAGGUUUUUCUCACUCUGCCAGUGGUUUUUUUUUGCUUGUGCUAAAUUACAUUGUUAUUUAGUUUUUUUUUUCUUCCUAGUAAAAAACUGUUAUUCCCAUUCCCAUAUCUUUGCCUGAGAGCCCUUUUAAUUCUGAAAUUGUGAUAAUUCGGAAGGAGGGGGUUUACCUUUUCCAUUUCACAGGAGGCUUUUGCCUUCCUUCACAGACUCCUGUCUUUUCAAACCAAGACACCUUGCAUAUGGGAAAUUUUUUCAGGACAGUACCAAUUUUGGCAGUGGGCAUCUGAAAAGAGGGACACUUCUUUUCCAUAGCAAGGAAAGCCCAGAGCCCCAGUGUUUCAGGAGCUGAUGAGAGGCAGCCCUUGACAUGCCAAGAUCAGCCAGACCUGUCAGGUGGCCUCUGGGAGGCCAAGCCAGCCAGACCUGUUCCAUGUUCCCUCGGUUCCAUGGGGCCCCAGAGUGUCCCAAUGGCCCCUUGCUUCCAGGAGGCCCUGAGGUGCCAUAAUGCCCCCUUGGUGACACCAGGCCCUGAAGGGCCCUAAUGGCCUCCAUGGUUCCAUCAGGCCCCACAGAGUCACAAUGGUCUCUGGGUUCCAUGAAGCCCCGCUGUGUCACCAUGGUCCCUUGGUUCCAUGGGCUCCAGUGGUGCCACAAUGAUCCCCUUGGUUUCAUGAGGUCCCUUCCCACAGUGUCCCAGGGAUAUCCAUGGCAAGGAAAGAACCCAGCCCCAGGGUUCUUUCCUUGCCAUGGAGAAAAGUUCUCAGAAAGAGAAAGAACCCAGACUGCCCCUGGGUUCUUUCCUUGCCAGGGAAAGAACCCAGGGGCAGUCACCAGAGGCAAGGCCAGCCAGACUUGACAAUACUGGCAGAUUUUGCCUGGGAGCAACCCUUGGGUGUUUGGAAUUUUUGAGGUGGAAUUCCAAUUUCAGACAUAGACACCCAGGGAAGGAUGGUUCUGUUCCAUAGGAAGGAAAGCAUGGAACUCCAGUUUUUCGGGGCAGAUGAAAAGCGGCCAUCAGAGGCCUAGGCCAGCCACACCUCUCUGUCCUGGUAGCUUUUGUCUGAAAGGAACCCUUGGAUAUAGGGAAUUUGGGAGAUGGAAGCCAAAUUUUGGCCACUUCUGUGUAGAUAAGAUAGAUCAUUCUUUUCCAUAGGAAGGAAAGUACAGAGCCCAUAUGUUUCAAAGGCAGAUGAGGAGAGAGGUGGCUCCUGGAAUGAUAUUAAUGAUAUCCUCAGGCCAGGUCUUAUGAGCUCUUGGGGACCUAUAUUACACCAAAGAUAGUUCAGCCACCUCAGAUGGCAUAAAAUCAGCAUGUCUUCAGUGGUAGUGUUGGAAACAGAAAAAUUUUUAAAAAAGAUAAAAUAACAAAGGUCUUUACAGAGAAAACCUACACCAGUGGCAAGAGGCUCUUGCUUCCGGUAAAAACCCCACAAAAGUGUUUAGUUCCUUUGUUCCACUUUUUCUAGUAAAUUGUUUAGGAAGGACCUUUUGGCUUCUGUCCAGUUAUCUAUCCUUAAGUUUGGAGUAAAGUCGCAAAAGUCCUAUGAGGUGUCUUUUUACCAAAGUGAGGAGAGAAACUUCUGGGCUUUUUCCCUUUUUAAGGAGACAAGGAUAAUUUGGUUACUCCGUCAACAGGGGGCACAUUCCUACACUGGGAGGCCAAGCCCGCCAGACCUGUUUGUCCUGGCAGCUUUUAUCAUGGAGGAAUCCUUGGUUAUAUUGAAUUUGGGAGGAGGAAUCUCAAUUUUGACCAUGGACACCUUGAGAAGAAGGAUGGUUCUUUUCCAUUGGAACAAAAGCACCAGUGUUUCAAAAGCAGGCAGACAUCUGCUGAUAACAGGUUAUUGAAUGUCACUGCAUGACUGAUAAGAACUACAGCAUCCCACUGGGAGAUGUUCUGCCCAGAGGGGAGAGCCAAGCAUUCCUACCCAGAUAUAAUCUUGAAAUUCUGGAACACCAGCAUGGCUUUCUCCACUGGAUUUCCCAGAGGAACAGCAGCUGCCUCUUCCACUGGAUCUUCAGAGGAAGACUAUAUCUUUCUAAAGGACCCCUGCUCCAGCAGAACUACACCUGACACUCCAGGAGGACUGCAGCCACCAUUCCAAUUGGACUGCUACCAACACCCUGACCAACAGGGUGUCAGGUUGUGUUCUGACUCUGUCAGUGUUGUCUUGCUUUACUGCAUUGUUUAUUUUAUCCUUUUAUUUGCUUCCCUAAUAAAGAACUGUUAUUCCUGCUUCCAUA